AGGUCAUGCAACCCGUGGAGUUCCCCACUUUCAGAAUCUGGCUGGCUGACUUGUCCAUUGUGGUGUCAUUAAACACAUUCCUCCACCCCCUGUGAGUACUGCAGGUAAAGGCUGGACUAUUGUCUAUCUGUCCCGCAAUCUGCCUGACCAGCCACCCCACCAAAAAAGGAAGUAAAAAUGACAGAUGAGUCACCAUGAGCACUGGUGCCGAAGAAAAUACAGCCCUGAGCAGGACCACACCUCCCCCUCAUGGACUUACUCCCAGGAGAGGGAAGCCAGAGAACAUACACAGGCCCACUGUGGAGCUUCCCCCAGGAAACAAAACGGAUGGGAUGGAACUUCCGGACAUCUCAUUAGGAAGCCCUGAGGCAGAGAAUGCGCCAUCAGCCCCAGAAGAGGAGAGCAACACUGCCCCCCUCCACGGCCCCAGACCCUUCUCUCUGUGUCUACAUGGAAAUGCUCACAACUGCACAGGGUAGGGGCAUCUCAGGCUUUAAGUUUUCACUUUUGGAAGUGAGCAUGUGAGGAGAAUCAUGGGCAGGGGGAAGCCACGCCCUGAAAAGCCCAGACUGUACAGGACGCAGAGUCAGAACGGAUGAGGACCACCACCUCCACAGGUGAGCCCUGCAUCGGCCCCACGCCGACCUUGCCCCUAGGGCUCGUGGAGUCUGAAAACUCCCAGUGGAGAUUCCUCCUUGGCCUGGCAAGCUGCUUGUACCCGGACCCACCGAGGGAAGGAAGGGGCACCCCAUCUUGUAUCCACAUGCCCCUCAGUGAAACAGAGGCUGUACUUAAAUCCUUAAACUACAAUGUCGCCUUCUUUUAGUUUGCUAACUCGUUUGGCUGAAGUGAUGUGGGUUGAAUGCUUGUAUAAUUACAUGCUUACAUAGAGAGACGAAUUAAAAAAAAAAUA